rnacentral:lncRNA from 1 species
CCCCCUCUCUCAUCUCUCUCACACCCUUCAGAGAAAACCUCUGCAAAACCCUAGCCUCCACCAUUCCCACCACCCAGAAACCCGGCGGCGCCACCUCCUUUCACCCUCAAAAUCACACCAGACAACCACCUCCCUCUCCUCAUCUCGAAUCCCCACCCCGUUUUCUUCAAAUCCCCCUGGAGUUUCUCAAAUUUUAGAUCAAAGACUUAGACACUAAGUCUCCAAAUCAUAAAUCAGUGGUCGUGUUGAAGAUUUGAAGUUGGAAGGGGUUUUAUGCAUGUAUUUUCAUUUGAGAACACAUGAUUAAAACCCAUUCCGGUCAAAAUCGGAGGGUACCGAAGGUCUAUUCAAGCCAACCAUCCGCUUAUCUAUAUUGGGUAUUUCUUUCUUUUUCAUCUCGUUUCUUUAUUUUUGUUUUCUUUUCCUCGUCUCCUUUAUUCUCUUUCUCAUUCUUCUUGUUUUUUAUUUCAUUCGACCAGUUAGUGAAAUUAGGUAGCAUGAACUUGUUAGUAAUUUUGUUUAAUUAUGUCAGAUGAACUUAGGGUCAAUUGUCCAUGCAUGAUAUUGUUUAUCAGUAUUGUUAUCUUGUUGUUAUUAAUUAGUAUAGUUUCAUUUUCUUGGUUUGUAUUAAGGCUGCCUAGAUUUCUCUUUUGGGAAAUUUUAGGUUAAUUUUUAAAACUGGUAAACCAUGUCAAAGUUAUUUGGGCUCAAAAAGAUUGAAUAGCCCGGAAAUGAACUGAAUUGGGUUUCUCUGGACCCAUUAACUUGGGUCAAAUUGGACCCAGAUUCUGUUUGGCUUUAACAGUAAUAUGCAGGUGUGUGAGAGGGUAAUUUAGAUAUUUUAGUCUGAGGAAUAUGAGUAUAAUUGUCUAGGAAGCUUCCUAGAAGCCAAAAACAACCUUACUUGGCAAAUAAAUCAAAAAUGCAAGGAUAUAAGUAGCAAAAAUCAAAAUUCAAAAAGGGCUAAAAUGCAAAUCUGAUCCCUCUAUUGUUGCCCUAUUUCCAUGCCUAUAAAGGCACAUUUCCUCGCUUUUGAAGGCAAGGUUGAAGAGAUAAAAAAACUGAAAAAUCACAAACGGCUAAAGAUUUGAGAAAAAUAUUGUUCCAUUGAAUUUUCUGCUUUGAAUUUUGAAGUUUUUCCAUUACUGAAACAAUUUCUGAUUCUCUUUGCGGUUGAAAUGGAUUGAGCUUGGGUAUUGAAAGAGCUGGUUUAGGUUUGUUGAUUGGUUUACUGUUCUAUUGAAUUUUCUGAGUGGAUUUUACUGUUUCAUUGUUGAGUUGAUGAAUCUGGACUAGCUGCUACUGCCUGUUGCUGAUAUUUUCAUUUUUUGUUAUUUUUGCUUUCCAGGUAUAUCUCUGGCCCUUGUUGACUGUGUAAUUCGAGUAAAACUUGAUGGAAUACAAGUUGUGUUCAAUUUAGUGUUCUCUCUUUUCCUACUAUUUCAAUUAUGUAGUAACUAUGUAACGAUAAGUGUUACAUGAGUUUGAUGUUUUCACAUUAUAAAUCUAGCUCGCUUACUGUUUGGAAUUGAGAAGGAUGUAAUUAGUUUGAAGUUUUAUGUUGUGUAUAAAAUCUAGCUUAGGUUAAAGUCCUUUUAUGAACUGUUUACCAUCAUGAAAUUAAACGUGUGUUUUCAGUAGUAUUCAAGAUCUCUUGGUGUGUUAGACAAUGAAUAAUACUGAGAUUUGCCAAUCUUGGUUUGAUUGUAUAGGGGUCACUUUGCCUUACAGGGUCCAGGCUCCUUAAGCUUGGAGUUCUGAGGUCAAUUUGCAAAGGGGGUUUGGGCCUGUCCCACAAGUCCCCAUAGUUACUGAGUUUGGUUGCUUGAUUAGUCAUGUAUCAUGUUUGUCCUGAAGUCGCAAAAAUUGAAAUUAG